rnacentral:rRNA from 1 species
UACGGAGGGUGCAAACGUUGCUCGGAAUCAUUGGGCGUAAAGCGCACGUAGGCGGCCUGUUAAGUCGGGUGUGAAAUCCCUGGGCUCAACCCAGGAAGUGCACUCGAAACUGGCGGGCUUGAGUACUGAAGAGGGUCGCGGAAUUCCCGGUGUAGAGGUGAAAUUCGUAGAUAUCGGGAGGAACACCAGUGGCGAAGGCGGCGACCUGGGCAGAUACUGACGCUGAGGCGCGAAAGCGUGGGGAGCAAACAGG